rnacentral:rRNA from 1 species
AGAGUUUGAUCCUGGCUCAGGACGAACGUUGGCGGCGUGCCUAACACAUGCAAGUCGAGCGAAGGACUUCGGUUCUUAGCGGCGGACGGGUGAGUAACACGUGAGUAACCUGCCUUAUAGAGGGGGAUAGCCCUCCGAAAGGAGGAUUAAUACCGCAUAACGUAUAAUUAGCACAUGCUAAAUAUACCAAAGGAGUAAUCCACUAUAAGAUGGACUCGCGGCGCAUUAGCUAGUUGGUGGGGUAAAGGCCUACCAAGGCAGCGAUGCGUAGCCGACCUGAGAGGGUAAUCGGCCACAUUGGAACUGAGAGACGGUCCAGACUCCUACGGGAGGCAGCAGUGGGGAAUAUUGCACAAUGGGCGGAAGCCUGAUGCAGCAACGCCGCGUGAGUGAAGAAGGUCUUCGGAUUGUAAAGCUCUGUCAUCUGGGACGAUAAUGACGGUACCAGAGGAGGAAGCCACGGCUAACUACGUGCCAGCAGCCGCGGUAAUACGUAGGUGGCGAGCGUUGUCCGGAUUUACUGGGCGUAAAGGAUGCGUAGGCGGAUAUGUAAGUCAGAUGUGAAAACCCCAGGCUUAACUUGGGGACUGCAUUUGAAACUGUGUAUCUGGAGUGCAGGAGAGGAAAGUGGAAUUCCUAGUGUAGCGGUGAAAUGCGUAGAGAUUAGGAAGAACAUCAGUGGCGAAGGCGGCUUUCUGGACUGUAACUGACGCUGAUGCAUGAAAGCGUGGGGAGCAAACAGGAUUAGAUACCCUGGUAGUCCACGCUGUAAACGAUGAAUACUAGGUGUGGGAGGUAUCGACCCCUUCCGUGCCGCAGCCAACGCAAUAAGUAUUCCGCCUGGGGAGUACGGUCGCAAGAUUAAAACUCAAAGGAAUUGACGGGGGCCCGCACAAGCAGCGGAGCAUGUGGUUUAAUUCGAAGCAACGCGAAGAACCUUACCUGGACUUGACAUCUCCUGAAUAGCUAAGAGAUUAGCGAAGUUCUUCGGAACAGGAAGACAGGUGGUGCAUGGUUGUCGUCAGCUCGUGUCGUGAGAUGUUGGGUUAAGUCCCGCAACGAGCGCAACCCUUAUAGAUAGUUGCCAUCAUUAAGUUGGGCACUCUAGAUAGACUGCCCGGGUUAACCGGGAGGAAGGUGGGGAUGACGUCAAAUCAUCAUGCCCUUUAUGUCCAGGGCAACACACGUGCUACAAUGGUGAGAACAAAGAGACGCGAAGCCGCGAGGCAGAGCAAAACCAGAAAACUCAUCCCAGUUCGGAUUGCAGGCUGCAACUCGCCUGCAUGAAGCCGGAGUUGCUAGUAAUCGCGAAUCAGCAUGUCGCGGUGAAUACGUUCCCGGGCCUUGUACACACCGCCCGUCACACCAUGAGAGCCAGUAACACCCGAAGUCCAUGAGGUAACCGAAAGGAGCCAGUGGCCGAAGGUGGGACCGGUGAUUGGGGUGAAGUCGUAACAAGGUAACC